GCCCAGUGCGGCCGUGGGCGAGCCAUAGCGCCCUGGCCCGGGGCAAAGAUCGGUGGCCGAGGGCUCGGGGUUGGGCCUCAGGCCCGGAGCGAGCCCAGGGGACAAGUGGAGGAAGGCCCUGGGGACGCGGGUCAGCGAGUGGGAAAGGCAGUAAGAGUCGCACCCGGUUGUGAGAAGUUUGUGGACUGGAAAGGUGGGCUGAUUCUGCGAGCCUCUGCAAGCCAGUGUUCAAAGGACAACCAGAAAACAUGCUACAGGAAUGUGGGCCCAGCAGGCCUGACCCUACUUAGCUGGAGUUUACUUUUAAGCGACCAAGAUGUAGUACAUUAGGAGAAUUGGAGCAAAGUAGGCUCUGGGGUCCUGAUUGCCAGUCUGUGAUGAUGCCUGAACUUUAUCUGGUAGAACGUGUUGGAACCAGCUGAGAUGCUGGAGGAAAACAAAGCUUCGUAAUCCAAAUACAAAGCUUCUGGGAAGACGUGUUGAGCAAUAGUCCUUCAGAGGGGAAUAAUGGGGGCUGCUUAUGACAUGAUCACUGUUUUAAGACAACCAGAGGCAUUUUCCUGAUAAAGCCUAUCUCUGCAGAGACACAUGGUUGGAUUACCUUUUUACCAAAAACUAAUUAUCGAGUUUUUCGGUUCAAUCCCAGCCACUCCUCCAUCAGGAGUUAGGGGAGCAAGUGGCUUCUCUUCCAUGUUAUGUUUUCAUCAAUGAAUUAGAAGACAGUUUUCAUUAUUUAUGAGAGGUUUAGGAGAAGUGAUGUGUGAUUUUUUUUUUUGAAGUGAGAGUUUGUGCAGUAAGAAAGCACUGUCCUUGAGCAUGUAUCAAGUUGGACUUGACAUAAAGACUCUGCUGCAUUACAAAAGUUGUCUGAAAUAACAAACUAAAUCCAUUUGAGAUGCGUUUUUAAUAUUGGAAUAUUGCUAAGGAAACUUUGGAAUCAAUUUUUGAGUAAUUCAACUAUUCUGUUUACUAAGAUCCUCUGAUAUUAGUUUCUGUUGUCAACCUCACCCUGCUUGCCUAGCACCUUAAUAUUUAUUGUUUCCCUCUCCCCCCUCAGUAUUAGAGGUCUACACAAGAUGACUGCCCUCUGUACCAAGUGCCUUCUAACUCAUGAACAGUUUGUCAGGGCAGUGUCUGCUUCAACUAGACACCUGGGGCUUACCUCAGUGCUGCAUUUGAGUCUCUUUACAGACAAGCUCAUCAAUAGCCCCUUUCACAGAGAACAGACUACCCUUUAUCUAUUGGAAGUAUUUUAAGCAUGCAGAACUCUCAAAGGAGGGAAAAAAAAUGCUUGAGUGUUUACACAGAAGCUUUCCAGACGGUUUGGAAAUGAGGAAGUACCUAGCCCAGGACCUAUCGCAAACAGGUAGUUACAAAUAUUUGCAAAAUAAAUAAAAGUUUCCAUCAUCAAAA